GAAAGAAGAGGGGCAUCCAGAAAUUAUUAGUGUGGCUUGGCAACCACUUAUUCUCUUAGUUUUCCUUUGUUAUUUUGAAUUCACAUUUCCUGUUUGGUUGAGUUAGAAAAGAGAAGGAGAGUCAUAUUGUAUAGAGUUACUGAAACUGAUAUGUAUUUUCGGCAAUGCUGCCAUUGUUAAUCAAUACAAGCUAUUUUCUGUUUACAAUCCAGAUUUGUUCCUAACUCUAUCAGAAAUUUCUAAAGCCCAAGUGAAAUAAUUUUCCAUACAGGAACUUAUGCAUAUUCACCUCUUAAAUAUGCUUCAUCAGAGCUUUAGAUUCAACAACAGUUUUAUUUUAUUUCUUUGUAGGUCCCCUCUCUCUCCCUAACAAGCAUAAGUAUGCAUUCAUGCAUGGCAAACACAUGGAGAGACAGCCAUGUCUAGUUGGGAUGUAUCAUGAAGGGGCAUUAGGAACCUUGAUAUUCCCAAACUUCAGAAACAGAAGUCAUAUGUAACAAAUCCCAAAACAAGAGUGCAUGUAACGCUUAGCAACUAGUGCACCAUAUAGUUAAAAUAAGGAGACUCACCAUGUGUGGCCAUGUCAAAACA
rnacentral:misc_RNA from 1 species